GAUGAACGCUGGCGGCGUGCCUAAUACAUGCAAGUAGAACGCUGAAGCUUGGUGCUUGCACCGAGCGGAUGAGUUGCGAACGGGUGAGUAACGCGUAGGUAACCUGCCUCUUAGCGGGGGAUAACUAUUGGAAACGAUAGCUAAUACCGCAUAAAAGUCGAUAUCGCAUGAUAUUGAUUUGAAAGGUGCAAAUGCAUCACUAAGAGAUGGACCUGCGUUGUAUUAGCUAGUUGGUGAGGUAACGGCUCACCAAGGCGACGAUACAUAGCCGACCUGAGAGGGUGGUCGGCCACACUGGGACUGAGACACGGCCCAGACUCCUACGGGAGGCAGCAGGAGGGAAUCUUCGGCAAUGGGGGCAACCCUGACCGAGCAACGCCGCGUGAGUGAAGAAGGUUUUCGGAUCGUAAAGCUCUGUUGUAAGAGAAGAACGAGUGUGAGAGUGGAAAGUUCACACUGUGACGGUAACUUACCAGAAAGGGACGGCUAACUACGUG
rnacentral:rRNA from 1 species